rnacentral:rRNA from 1 species
UACGUAGGUGGCGAGCGUUAUUCGGAUUUACUGGGCGUAAAGGGUCCGCAGGGGGUUUGCCAAGUCUGAUGUGAAAUCCUGAGGCUCAACCUUGGAACUGCAUUGGAAACUGGCGAACUAGAGUCUGCGAGGGGUGAGCGGAAUUCCUGGUGUAGCGGUGGAAUGCGUAGAUAUCAGGAAGAACACCGAUGGCGAAGGCGGCUCACUGGCGCAGUACUGACCCUCAUGGACGAAAGCGUGGGUAGCGAACAGG